UUUUAAUGUCCAACAUUUAUAAUAUGAGGGCUAGUGCUUUCUUGCCAAGUUUAUAAGUUUUCGACUGGCUUGUAAGGUCAAUAGGGAUACUCCUUUUUGUCUAAUUUGGUUUCUGGGAAGACUUCAUUCAGGUCCUCAAUGGUCAUCUGAUCAAAUGGAAUUAUGUUCUUCAUCUUCUCCAGCAUUUUUUCAUAUUCUUCAAUCCUGGCCUUUGAGAGAGACAAAAACUCAGCACAGCGUUUCACAUCUUUUUUUUUCCCUCAGCAUCCACCUGGACAAUGUAUUUAUCCUCUGGCACAGAAACUUUCAACCUUCAAGGCGUUAAACUUCUUAUCAAAGUCAUCUACCAGGCCAGCCUUUGCCACAUUGGCCUUGUAGUAAGCCCAGUCGAUAGCAGGUGGUUUCUCAGGAAGAGUAGCCAACCUGGAGGGACACUGGAGCAAGAUGAUUGGACAAUAAGACUGCAAAUUCUACAUACUGCAAAUGCAAAUGGGGCACUCAAUCUGCUCUCGGUUUCACAGUUGGACAGAACAUGGAGAUGCUCAGUUCAUGAAUGGACAGUCUUCAGGGAGGAACUGUUUAGAAAAUGGCCCUGGGCUGAGCAUAGCUUAGAAGUCUGUUCUGCUUAGUUAGGUUGGUCAUGACUUUUAAAAUCUACCUUUUAAAGUGUGCAGGCUAACACUUCUGCCUGCUUAAGUGAUUUAAUGGUUUCCUCAGCUCUGGAGUGGUAUCUGAGACCAGGAAGGACACUGGUCAGCCAGAAUCUGUUGAUCACUUGCCAGAGACAAGGAAAGCAGGUAAGGCUGGGGCAUGAAACUACUGGGUGAUAUUCUUAUAACUUUGUUCUCUGAAUCUCAGUGGGAACCAAAGUGUUUUCCCUUUAUCAGCACCCUGUGACUCAAGGGGGAAGUGAGACAGGAAAGGAGGGGGAGGUUGUUUUGCUUUUCUAGUAAAAUGUCCUGUUCCCAAAGUUCCAAAAAGAAAAUCUUGGAAACUCAUAUUAGUUUAGUGGAUUGGAAUACAUUGUAGAAAAUGAAGUGUAGAGGUGUUAGCAGCACCUUUUCCAGGAAAAAAAUCAAGAAAUUCAUGGCUCUGGGCAGCAACUGGUGGUGGUUUUUAUAAAGAAGUUUAUCUACCCUGCAGUCUGGGAAAACAGUCUCCAGAAGACUGUCCUCACAUCAUUUACCAGCCCCAAGUUCAGGGUCUCUAGGACCAUCACUAAUUUAUAUCAGCUGGUUCCAAAUUUGAGGAUCCCCAAAAACUCCUGCAGAUUUG
rnacentral:lncRNA from 1 species